GGUCGAAUGGUGUAGUGGUUAUCACGUCUCGUUCACACUUAAUAUCAUUAAGCGCCGAGAAGGUCCCGAGUUCAAGCCUCGGUUCGACCU